rnacentral:rRNA from 1 species
GCCGCGAAUUCGCCCUUAGGGUUUGAUUAUGGCUCAGGACGAACGCUGGCGGCGUGCCUAAUACAUGCAAGUCGAGCGAUGAUUAAAGAUAGCUUGCUAUUUUUAUGAAGAGCGGCGAACGGGUGAGUAACGCGUGGGAAAUCUGCCGAGUAGCGGGGGACAACGUUUGGAAACGAACGCUAAUACCGCAUAACAAUGAGAAUCGCAUGAUUCUUAUUUAAAAGAAGCAAUUGCUUCACUACUUGAUGAUCCCGCGUUGUAUUAGCUAGUUGGUAGUGUAAAGGACUACCAAGGCGAUGAUACAUAGCCGACCUGAGAGGGUGAUCGGCCACACUGGGACUGAGACACGGCCCAGACUCCUACGGGAGGCA